GUGGGGAAUAUUGCACAAUGGGCGCAAGCCUGAUGCAGCGACGCCGCGUGGGGGAUGACGGCCUUCGGGUUGUAAACUCCUUUCGCAACCGACGAAGCUUUUGUGACGGUAGGUUGAGAAGAAGCACCGGCUAACUACGUGCCAGCAGCCGCGGUAAUACGUAGGGUGCGAGCGUUGUCCGGAAUUACUGGGCGUAAAGAGCUCGUAGGUGGUUUGUCGCGUCGUUUGUGGAAUACCGCAGCUUAACUGCGGGGUUGCAGGCGAUACGGGCAUAACUUGAGUGCUGUAGGGGAGACUGGAAUUCCUGGUGUAGCGGUGGAAUGCGCAGAUAUCAGGAGGAACACCGAUGGCGAAGGCAGGUCUCUGGGCAGUAACUGACGCUGAGGAGCGAAAGCAUGGGGAGCGAACAGG
rnacentral:rRNA from 1 species